UAUCUGCUCAAAAGACUGAGUCAACGUAUACUGUAGGAAAUACGAAAUACCAUGGUGAAAAAAACUCACUGCAGAUGAUAAAGGGAUGUUGAAUGUAACGGCAAUGAAAAGUAAAACAAGACACGAAAAUAUCUGUUUUUAGAGUACUGGGAAUGGUUGGAACACUGAUGCAAAUAACUGGCUGAACACAACUGUAGGAAGAACAUGAUACCUUUGUAAAAGAAUCGUUAAGCUGCGGAGGUCCAGAAUAAAUGGAAGGGAAGAACACUGACCUUGACAGCCACUGUGAACAAGUAAGCUAUAUAACUAGUCAGGGAGAGAGAUGCCAAAUACUGUUCUAAAUCCAUCCGUGAAUGCAUAAGGUGAAGAAUGAGUGGGUACCUGUGUUCAGGAGGGCACAGACAAGAGAUUGCUCAUCUAUGGACCAUACAAGAUGCCUCAGACUGGCUGAGAGGCACUAAGGGGCUACACAGGAAGACACUCACAGCGCUAUGCUAUCACCCAUAUCACCUUUGAAUACUAAGCUGUCUACAGGAAGUUCUUGUCAUGGGCCCUUCAGUCCAGAUGUUUUCAGAAAUUUCCCCACCAUGAUGAUACUAAUAUAUGAGCACUCUAACCUAAUGAAGUCCCUGCCUACCAUGGAUCUGCAGCAGAUGAGGGAAACCUCCAUACAACACUUGGGUUGACGCCUCUAUAGAUCAAGAACACUGCUGAAGCUCAUGAUGAUAUCAAUGGAGAACUACACAAUAUCUUCAAGAAUGAAGCCACAUUUGAGACCAACAUGUCAUGUGUUAGAUCACAAUUCUGAUGUCAAUCCUGAUAGAAUAAAAUAAAUUUUAGUACA